GUUAAUUACAGGCAUAAACACUGACUUGUUCAACACAUGAGAUCAUCAUAAACAGUUGGUAUGGGUAGUCAAGAGAUGCUGCACUUUUUUUUUUUUUAAAACAAGUUUGAGAUAUGAGAAAGACAAGAAAAUGAUAUAGUGAUGAUUUGCAUAACUGAUUAAGCUAAGCAUACAUAUCUAUUCGCUUUACCAAGAUUAAGUUUAUGCACAAAAUACUUGCUAGACAUGAAAG